rnacentral:rRNA from 1 species
UACGGAAGGGGCUAGCGUUGUUCGGAAUCACUGGGCGUAAAGCGCGCGUAGGCGCCGGUCAAGUGCGGCGUGAAAGUCCUGGGCUCAACCCGGGAACUGCGUGUGAUACUGGAUGGCUUGAAUUCGGGAGAGGGAUGCAGAAUUCCAGGUGUAGCGGUGAAAUGCGUAGAUAUCUGGAGGAAUACCGGUGGCGAAGGCGGCAUCCUGGACCGACAUUGACGCUGAACGGCGAAAGCUAGGGAG